UGCUGUCCAGCACUGGACAGAGUUCCCUCUGGAGAUGGCCUCCCCAGCUCAACUCCUCUGCUUUCUCUUGCUCUGGCUCCCAGGUUCAGAAGGGGAAAUUGUUUUGACCCAGUCUCCUACGUCCCUGCCUGUGUCUCUGGGAGAGAGAGUCACCAUCAAGUGCAAGGCCAGUCAGAGCCUCUUACACAGUAAUGGAUACACUUAUCUAUAUUGGUUCCAACAGAAACAAAGAGAACCUAUUAAAACACUGAUCUAUACAGUUUCCAAUCUGCACUCUGGGGUUCCCUCUCGAUUCAGUGGCAGUGGGUCUGGGACGGAUUUCACCCUCACAAUCAGCAAUCUGGAGUCUGAGGAUGUUGCAGAGUACUUCUGUGGGCAAGCUAUUAGCUUGCCUUAUACACAGUGUUCCAGCCCCUAA